rnacentral:tmRNA from 1 species
GGGGGCGUACCGGUUUCGACGGGAACGCUUGCGCUUAGGAGGCAUGCCGGGGGUCCACACCACCCGUAAUCGGAGUGGGACAAAGACAACUGCCAACACGCAGUAUGCCUACGCUGCCUAAUUAAUUAGGUGGCCGUCUCCUUCGUCAGGCCCGCAGGGCGAAACGAGGCGUCGAUUAGCGGGCUGGCCUGCGGUUGGCCGCCUGAGAGCCGCAGGCGAGAUCUCCGCCGAAAGGUGGACAGGCUAGUCGGUAGCCCGUUAUUGCCCGUUCCUGAGAGCUGCUGGCGAAAGCAGGAAGCGAACGGGAUAAGCAUGUAGGCUCCUAACCGUUGGCCUCUUCGGACGGGGGUUCGACUCCCCCCGCCUCCACCA